GUUUCUAGCGAGCGCUUGUGGACUUCAUGCUCUGCCUGCGUGGGGCCCCCUGAGGGACAGCACGACCCCGUAGGACCACCUGCUGCGUCUGCCAGCCACCUCUGCCUACUUCCAGUGGGACCCCUGCCUUGGAACUGUGCUAGCCCUGCUGUGCCCCACAGCUCAGCACCCCCUAACUUUCCAAGAUUGUCCCCCACACCUCCACCCCUGGCCCUUCCUGGCUGCCUUGAAAUUCAGAGCCCUGCGGUGGCUCUCCUAAUAAGUGGUACCACUGUGACCUGUUCCUUCCUGGGGGUCACCCCAGCCUGGGGAGGGGGACGGGAGGCCAGGCUCCCUGGGAGGAGGGUGGGACAAGAGAAGCUGCCCCUUAGUCUCUGGGAAUCAAGACAGCCCUAGUUUCAUCAACAGGGUUGGUGCAGCCAACACUUAAUGAGCACCUACUGUGUACCUGGCUGGUACUGAGUCCUUGACUCUUAGAGCUGUGGGUCCUCACCUCAGCUCCAUGACUAUUGUCACCCCCAUUAUACAGAGGAAGAAGCUGAGGCUCAGAGAUAUUCUCCCCCGCUGGUGCGGUGAGGGGAAGUCCCCCAGACAAGACUGCUCAGAGAAGGCACCAGGGUAGGUGGGCCUGGCUCCAGGUAUGAUGGGUCAUGCUGCGGGGAGACCCCAACUCAGACUCUGGCUAUGGGACAGGGUGCUGCCUGCCACCACUGAUUCUAGGGGCUAGGGGCAAGACUCCUGAGUCCAGGUCCCUUCUUAGGGAGAGUUGGCUUCAGGGCUGAGGUGAUCGGUGGUGAUGACAUGUUAGAGGCUGGCACCAGGGUGGGCCUUGAGGUGGAAGCCAGGUGAAGGAUGGGCCCAGGGGCCGCUACCACUGUCCUGCCGACCUCAUCCUAGCUCAGAUGCUGCAGGGGCCAGAGGAUGUGAGCAUCAGAGCAGCCUCCCUGGAGGAGGCUCACUUGAGUGGAGGUGGGGCGGGGCUGCAUGGGAAGCCUGGAGAUGGAGCAAGGCACAAGCUGCACCAAGUUCUCUCUGGGACCUCAUGUAUUGCUUCCCCUCUCCGGAAGCGGCCGAUCCAUCAUGCAAGGACAGGGAUCCGGGUAUUUCAUUCCAGGGGUGGGAGCUGUCGAACCUUCUGAAGCCCAUGGGGGACAUCAGGCCAAUCCCACAGGUGACAAGAGGGGUCAAUGCAGUCUUGUGUGGUGGUCGCUGGGCCUCGCACACAGUAAGAAUGUCAGCUGUCUUCAGAGAAGGAUGUAUAGGGGACUGGGGGUGGGAGGUGGCACACAGAACCUGCCCUGUAGACAGGGGGGUGAGGCCUCCAAGACCCCCGGCAGAGUCGGGAAACAGCGGGUUUGGUGGGUGGAGGAGGCAGCAACGGUCCGUCUGCUCUGGGAAGACAUAGCGGUGCGGCAGGAAGGAGCAGCAGGCGGUGGAUCACCAGAUCACCGAUCACUGGAUCACUGUCACGGUUCCAGAGAACAAGGCACUCAGCCCGGCUGCCUGCUGCUGCGCAGCAACACUGGGAGGGACAGAAUCCAUCACUUCCUCAUCUUAUCUGGCUCUUACCUGAGGCUCACACAAGACGACGACCUGACCGACCUGACCGAGAGAGUCCUACGAGACUGGACGCUCCCCAGAGGCAGGAACCAGAGCAUCUACUUCACUUCUGAAGGUGCCAGGAGGGAAAGGGACACUUUGCUUUCCAUAAAAGCUACUGCCCGGCUGUGUGCCUAG
rnacentral:lncRNA from 1 species